GAUGAACGCUGGCGGCGUGCCUAAUACAUGCAAGUCGAGCGAACAGACGAGGAGCUUGCUCCUCUGACGUUAGCGGCGGACGGGUGAGUAACACGUGGAUAACCUACCUAUAAGACUGGGAUAACUUCGGGAAACCGGAGCUAAUACCGGAUAAUAUAUUGAACCGCAUGGUUCAAUAGUGAAAGACGGUUUUGCUGUCACUUAUAGAUGGAUCCGCGCCGCAUUAGCUAGUUGGUAAGGUAACGGCUUACCAAGGCAACGAUGCGUAGCCGACCUGAGAGGGUGAUCGGCCACACUGGAACUGAGACACGGUCCAGACUCCUACGGGAGGCAGCAGUAGGGAAUCUUCCGCAAUGGGCGAAAGCCUGACGGAGCAACGCCGCGUGAGUGAUGAAGGUCUUCGGAUCGUAAAACUCUGUUAUUAGGGAAGAACAAAUGUGUAAGUAACUAUGCACGUCUUGACGGUACCGAAUCAGAAAGCCACGGCGAACUACGU
rnacentral:rRNA from 1 species